GGAUUAAGGUAGCCAAGAAGGAGCUUCUAACUUCAUUCUUAAGCAGUGAAAGUCUGUUUUUAAUCCU
rnacentral:tRNA from 1 species